rnacentral:tRNA from 2 species
GCAUUGGUGGUUCAGUGGUAGAAUUCUCGCCUCCCACAUGGGGGACUUGGGCUCAAUUCCCAGCCAAUGCA